rnacentral:rRNA from 1 species
AACUUUCAACAACGGAUCUCUUGGUUCUGGCAUCGAUGAAGAACGCAGCGAAAUGCGAUAAGUAAUGUGAAUUGCAGAAUUCAGUGAAUCAUCGAAUCUUUGAACGCACAUUGCGCCCCUUGGUAUUCCGGGGGGCAUGCCUGUUCGAGCGUCAUUUA